CGGUCCCUACGGGGCGCAGCAGUGGGGGAUAUUGCACAAUGGGGGGAACCCUGAUGCAGCGACGCCGCGUGGGUGAAGAAGCGCCUCGGCGCGUAAAGCCCUGUCAGCAGGGAAGAAAAUGACGGUACCUGAAGAAGAAGCCCCGGCUAACUACGUGCCAGCAGCCGCGGUAAUACGUAGGGGGCAAGCGUUAUCCGGAUUUACUGGGUGUACAGGGGGCGCAGACGGCGACGCAAGCCAGGUGUGAUAGCCCGGGGCCCAACCCCGCGA
rnacentral:rRNA from 1 species